UACGAGUGGUCCAAGCAUUAUCCGGAAUUAUUGGGCGUAAAGGGUGCGUAGGCGGUCUUGUUAGUCUCUUGUUAAAACUCCCGGCCUAACCGGGAAGCUGCGAGAGAUACGGCAAGACUAGAGGGUGUAAGAGGCUUAUGGAACUCAUGGUGUAGGGGUGAAAUCCGUUGAUAUCAUGGGGAACACCAAAUGCGAAGGCAAUAAGCUGGUGCACACCUGACGCUGAGUGCACGAAAGCGUGGGUU
rnacentral:rRNA from 1 species